GUGUAAGGAAUGUGAGAUGUAGUAGUCUACAGAAUGUUUGUUAUUUUUUUACAUGUGUUGGAGAAAAAUGAAGGAGGCACUGAUAAGAAAUACUAUUGCUGCAUGGACUUCAGUAUUGAAACAAUGGAAAGCCUAAAGAUUUUGUAGGAAAACUUCAAAAAGGAAAAUCACGAACAAAGGAAUAGCUCCUUCUCCUUGCAUGACAAAUUGGGAAAAUGUGAAUGAAAGAAAGCGUCUUUCUAUGAAAUGAGAUGUUCUUAUCACAUCAGAACUCUUUAAAAAAUGGAACUAAUAAGCUUUUAUAUUUGGAGAACCAUAAACAGCAAUGUCUCUAGUAACUUCCUAUAUGAAACUUUGGGUGACUGACUACAACCAGAUCACUUUUCAUCUAAUUUCCAAAAUUAAAACAAAC